GCAGCUCCGUCAGUUCGGACGCGUCGGUCCGCCUGUUUUUGGUCGGGCCCGUCUUUCUUUUCGAACCGAACACGUACUCGUAAUAUCUGGAGGGGGAACGAACAAAAAAGUCGGUCCGUGAAUGCAGCACGCCGGAAAAAGAGGACGCAGCUCGGGCCAGCUGAGGACCCGGCGCCGUCCACGAUCACGAAGCUGACGGGGGACAGCUUGAAUGAAGCCGCGGUGAUCUUGACCUGCUGCGGCAGCGGCCACAGGGAGCCGAACUGCGACGGCUCGGCCUUCAGCUCAACCCCCGCGCCGGUGUGGUUGGGCUGCAGCGCCCCGCAGAAGCCCGGAACCAGAACCAGCACCAGCAGCAGCGCACACUGCAGAGCGGCGUCCAUGGUGGAAGACGGCGGAGUCACAAGACCCGCGGCGGCCGCGUUGUUUUGUGGAGGGGAGGAGGCGGAGAGUGACGCUCAGGCGGAAGCGUGAGGCUUAAAGGGGACGGUCUCCACUGAACGCUCCAGUCAGGACUCCACUUAUUAUGUGGAGUCGUUUAGUUGCUCAACAGGAGCAGAACCGGCCCUAGUUCAGGUUCUGGCUGUUUACCCGCUUGCUUGUCAGUGUUGCGCUGCAUGAUCAUGAUGUUUGUUAUUGUUUCACUCACAAGACUACUGAGAAAUAAAGACUCACCCCAA